AGGGCACCACCAGGAGUGGAGCCUGCGGCUUAAUUUGACUCAACACGGGAAAACUCACCCGGCCCGGACACUGGAAGGAUUGACAGAUUGAGAGCUCUUUCUUGAUUCAGUGGGUGGUGGUGCAUGGCCGUUCUUAGUUGGUGGAGUGAUCUGUCUGGUUAAUUCCGAUAACGAACGAGACUCUAGCCUACUAAAUAGAUCGUCGGCUUACAAACGCCGGCGAGACUUCUUAGAGGGACAGGCGGUGAUUCAACCGCACGAAACAGAGCAAUAACAGGUCUGUGAUGCCCUUAGAUGUCCGGGACCGCACGCGCGCUACACUGAAGUGAUCAGCGUGCUUUUUCAACCUACUCUGUCAAGAGUGGGGAACCCAAUGAACCUUCUUCGUGAUUGGGAUAGGGGAUUGUAAUUAUUCCCCUUGAACGAGGAAUUCCCAGUAAGCGCGAGUCAUAAGCUCGCGUUGAUUACGUCCCUGCCCUUUGUACACACCGCCCGUCGCUACUACCGAUUGAAUGUUUU
rnacentral:rRNA from 1 species